rnacentral:lncRNA from 1 species
UGUUCAUGCUGCCUUGGGGCCUGCCUGACCUCUGAAGUUCCAGUUACAUGAGAUCAUUGGCCAGGAGUUGAUGAGAGACAUCUUCGAAAAGUUCAUAACCAGAAGCCUGCCCUCAAGUGGAUUUGGGAACAUUAUUUGCAUUUUUCAAGCUGAGACUUUAGUUUAAAAUGCGUCCACGUAUGGUGUGUCUCCACUGGCCCAGCAGAAGUCAAUGCGAGCUCUGAAGAAACUCACCUUAAGCGUAGGCCUCAAAGAAUUACCAUGUCAAGAAACAUGAACACACUUGCAAGAUUAAAAAAUGUGAGGAAAUAAGACACUGUUAGAAAGUUAGCAGAAAUAACAAAGAUAUUCAAAUUACUGGGUAAAUACAUAAAACAAUUAU